AGUGAACGCUGGCGGUAGGCCUAACACAUGCAAGUCGAACGGCAGCACAGUAAGAGCUUGCUCUUACGGGUGGCGAGUGGCGGACGGGUGAGGAAUACAUCGGAACCUACUUUUUCGUGGGGGAUAACGUAGGGACACUUACGCUAAUACCGCAUACGACCUACGGGUGAAAGCAGGGGAUCUUCGGACCUUGUGCGAUUGUAUGAGCCGAUGUCGGAUUAGCUAGUUGGCGGGGUAAAGGCCCACCAAGGCGACGAUCCGUAGCUGGUCUGACAGGAUGAUCAGCCACACUGGAACUGAGACACGGUCCAGACUCCUACGGGAGGCAGCAGUGGGGAAUAUUGGGCAAUGGGCGCAAGCCUGAUCCAGCCAUACCGCGUGGGUGAAGAAGGCCUUCGGGUUGUAAAGCCCUUUUGUUGGGAAAGAAAAGCAGCAGGUUAAUACCCCGCUGUUCUGACGGUACCCGAAGAAUAAGCACCGGCUAACUUCGUG
rnacentral:rRNA from 1 species